rnacentral:rRNA from 1 species
GAUGAGUUGCGAACGGGUGAGUAACGCGUAGGUAACCCGCCUCGUAGCGGGGGAUAACUAUUGGAAACGAUAGCUAAUACCGCAUAACAAUGGAUGACACAUGUCAUUUAUUUGAAAGGGGCAAUUGCUCCACUACAAGAUGGACCUGCGUUGUAUUAGCUAGUAGGUGAGGUAACGGCUCACCUAGGCGACGAUACAUAGCCGACCUGAGAGGGUGAUCGGCCACACUGGGACUGAGACACGGCCCAGACUCCUACGGGAGGCAGCAGUAGGGAAUCUUCGGCAAUGGGGGCAACCCUGACCGAGCAACGCCGCGUGAGUGAAGAAGGUUUUCGGAUCGUAAAGCUCUGUUGUAAGUCAAGAACGAGUGUGAGAGUGGAAAGUUCACACUGUGACGGUAGCUUACCAGAAAGGGACGGCUAACUACGUGCCAGCAGCCGCGGUAAUACGUAGGUCCCGAGCGUUGUCCGGAUUUAUUGGGCGUAAAGCGAGCGCAGGCGGUUUGAUAAGUCUGAAGUUAAAGGCUGUGGCUCAACCAUAGUUCGCUUUGGAAACUGUCAAACUUGAGUGCAGAAGGGGAGAGUGGAAUUCCAUGUGUAGCGGUGAAAUGCGUAGAUAUAUGGAGGAACACCGGUGGCGAAAGCGGCUCUCUGGUCUGUAACUGACGCUGAGGCUCGAAAGCGUGGGGAGCGAACAGGAUUAGAUACCCUGGUAGUCCACGCCGUAAACGAUGAGUGCUAGGUGUUGGAUCCUUUCCGGGA